UUUCGGUUAGUUAUUAUUCUAUAUACUUACCCACCAGUUAAUAACUGGUUGUAGGUAGAAUUCAGCAAAAAACUUUAUGUUUAUCUAUAAAAAUUUUUAUAAAUUGUACUUAUUUUAGUGAUUUUUUUAACUAAUUAACACACAUAAUUAAUUAAAAAUAUAUUUUUCUUGAAAAUAUAUUAUAUUUUACAGCCCUACUCUAUAUUGGCAACAUGCAUUAUCUGGUGCCUGGAUGGUAUACAUGUUUAUUGUCUGUUAUGUGUCAUUUCACAAUAUCAGAUCCUUCAAGAUCUUCAAAUACCUCAUUUUGAUAUUCUAUAUCCAUGAAUGUGCUCAGUAACAGUAUUAAAAUAUAUAUAAACCGUCCAAUUUGUU